rnacentral:rRNA from 1 species
CGCAGCCGCGGGAAUACAGAGGGUGCGAGCGUUAAUCGGAUUUACUGGGCGUAAAGCGUGCGUAGGCGGCUUUUUAAGUCGGAUGUGAAAUCCCUGAGCUUAACUUAGGAAUUGCAUUCGAUACUGGGAAGCUAGAGUAUGGGAGAGGAUGGUAGAAUUCCAGGUGUAGCGGUGAAAUGCGUAGAGAUCUGGAGGAAUACCGAUGGCGAAGGCAGCCAUCUGGCCUAAUACUGACGCUGAGGUACGAAAGCAUGGGGAGCAAACAGGAUUAGAUACCCCCGUAGUCCCUGUCUCUUAUACA